CAAAUAUGAAUUUAACAUAAGUGAAAUGUGAAAUGGAGAAGGAAAUGAAAGAAGGUUGACAGGAAAGCAUGAAACAGCCAGCAUAGACACAUUCUCUUGGGGAGUCGCUAACCGUGGUUGCUCAAUCCGUGUGGGAAGAGACACAGAAAAGAAUGGCAAAGGUAAGUU